AGAACCUUCAGGUUAUCAUCACGAGGCUCAAAGGGUCAUCGCGAAAUGAAAGGGUUGUGUGUGAGAGUGAGAAGAAAACGCGAGCAACAAGAAGAGGAACGUGAUUCAGAUUGAAAACUAUUAUGAAAAGAGAACAUCAUGGGAAUGAUUAAACCCCUUUUGAUUCAGAUUCGCUAUUACUAUCCACACGUUAGUUCCUUUGUUCUUGCAGCUUCAAACGCUUUCUUCUCUCAAUCGUCAUUGCCGCUUUCUCGCUACCCUAAUUUUUCACUUACCGCCGUUCGCUACCCUCAUUUUAUAUUUGCUCUUUGAGAAUCGCCGUUGACACAUUAGGUUUGGCUGAGACACACGGG
rnacentral:lncRNA from 1 species